rnacentral:rRNA from 1 species
GAAGCACCGGCUAACUCCGUGCCAGCAGCCGCGGUAAUACGGAGGGUGCAAGCGUUGUUCGGAUUUAUUGGGCGUAAAGCGCGUGUAGGCGGUUUCUUAAGUCUGAUGUGAAAGCCCCGGGCUCAACCCGGGAAGUGCAUUGGAUACUGGGAGACUUGAAUACGGGAGAGGGUAGUGGAAUUCCUAGUGUAGGAGUGAAAUCCGUAGAUAUUAGGAGGAACACCGGUGGCGAAGGCGGCUACCUGGACCGAUAUUGACGCUGAGACGCGAAAGCGUGGGGAGCAAACAGGAUUAGAUACCCUGGUAGUCCACGCCGUAAACG